rnacentral:rRNA from 1 species
GUGGGGAAUAUUGGACAAUGGGCGAAAGCCUGAUCCAGCCAUGCCGCGUGUGUGAAGAAGGUCUUCGGAUUGUAAAGCACUUUAAGUUGGGAGGAAGGGCAGUAAGCUAAUACCUUGCUGUUUUGACGUUACCGACAGAAUAAGCACCGGCUAACUUCGUGCCAGCAGCCGCGGUAAUACGAAGGGUGCAAGCGUUAAUCGGAAUUACUGGGCGUAAAGCGCGCGUAGGUGGUUUUGUAAGUUGGAGGUGAAAUCCCCGGGCUCAACCUGGGAACUUCCUCCAAAACUGCAUGACUAGAGUACGGUAGAGGGUAGUGGAAUUUCCUGUGUAGCGGUGAAAUGCGUAGAUAUAGGAAGGAACACCAGUGGCGAAGGCGACUACCUGGACUGAUACUGACACUGAGGUGCGAAAGCGUGGGGAGCAAACAGGAUUAGAUACCCGAGUAGUCC